GCUUGGACAGCUUAGCUGGUAGAGCAUGAGACUCUUAAUGUUAGGGUUGUGGGUUCAAGCCCCACGUUGGGUG
rnacentral:tRNA from 1 species